rnacentral:lncRNA from 1 species
AAGGAGAAAAAAUCUUAUGUUAACAAAAGACACGUGACGAGAGACUGCGAAGACGUCCGAGAUAAAGGAUCCCAACACGAACCUUUAUGCUCAAUCCCAUACCCAAGAAAGCAACAUAGACGAGACCUAGGCUAAAGUUUAGUUCGUCAUGUGACUGCUAACAAGACAAAGCAGGCACACCCAAAAAAACACGAGAGAAUGAUUAAUCGGGAGGAGUACAUAUGAGCUCGGUAUGGAGUAAGGUUAUAAGAAGAGGGGAGGAAACCCGAUACUAGUGUAGGCCGCGGUACAGCGCAGCUUCCCCCAAACCCUCUCGGGACAACCCGGCAGAGAUAGCCAGACAGCGCGAGUAGUGUCCAGUAAAUGACGGUGUUUACGCUCGGCUCGCCAUUCUGUUGAGAGGUCCUCGGGCAAGAUUGUGGGACGCGUGCCAUGGGCCUCGUAAAAAGUAAGGAAGGAGAAAUCACAGUAAGCGUGAGACAUUGGUCUGAGCGAAGACUUUAAUAUCUCGAGAAAAAUUGGGUUUUAACCAUGUGUAGCAAAAUCAUUGAAGUCUGUUGUAAUUGAGCUCGAUCUUUAAGAGAUAAAGCAGGUCUAUCGAGAGAAAUAAGCCACAAAUAUAACAAAAGACUGUGAAAGCAAUAGUAUUUGUGGGCGACGGGACCCCAAAUAUCAGAGUGAACCAAGUCACAAGGAGGCAGCAAGAGAUAGAACUACGUUUAUUAAAAGAUAAAGCAGGUGUUGGCAAGUUGACAAAAUUGACAACAUCAAGGUGUUCAUUAAGAGUAGGACCUAAGACACCUUUAGAUACCCGAAGAACGUAACCGUCUAAACGCACAUGACCCUAAGCGGGAGUGCCAUAUCCCCAAAGAUGGUGACGAAGGAGAAGCAAAGAAGUGGUGGCAGCAGUAAGAACAGGAAUGUGAAGAUGGACAGCUGGACCCCUCGACCAUGUCUACGGCCUCUCCUCAGGUCUGCCUGUCUGCGGCUCCUGCACAACACAACCAGUAGAGGAGAAAAAGAACAGUGAGUCCAAGAUCACAUAAUUGGACCAACAGAAAUAAGAUUAAGAGAUAGUUGAGGCACAUAGUAUGUCUUUUUCAAGAGACACCCAGCCGCCUUAGAUACAUGUCCAACAUGAUACACCAGUCUAGCUGAUCCAUUAGCAGUUUGGAUAACAGGAAAAGGAAGAGUCAGAUGAUUUAGAUGAGAACACGAAGAGAAGAUAGAUGUCAUGUGAUUUGCAACAUCCAGAGUCAAAGUACAUGGGGCAUACCUGAAGAGGAAGACAACGCAGUAGAGGGAUUACGGAAGCUGAUAGAAUCUGCUGAACAAGUGCCGGACGCUCACUGACACGAUCAGCGUAGGAGGGUGGCCGCAGCCGAGGACAACCUCAACAGUAGCAGCAGUGGACUGAGGACGAGUGUUCGGCGGGUAGGAUGGGUUGGGACAAUCAGAUUAUAAUGACCAGGGCCUUUCUUGCGGGAAACACUGGCAAAAACGAACAGGGCAAGUAAGCAAGCCGAUGAUCCUUUGCGUGGACAAAAAGGUGCACUCUUAUGCGAGAGGUGAACAGAGGAUUGAGUAACAGAGGUGAAAAACCGAGAAGAACCACCAAAAGAGCCACGACCGUUAGAAACAGGGGCAGCAAAGAGCAGUGUCCACAUGGGAAUCGUAACUCAGGCCCAGAGAGUCUCCUCAGAUACAGCUCCGAUAUAGCCUGCUCCAAUGUGGAAGAGGAAUGAGAUGAACAGAAGGGCUCGAACCGGCUCAUAAAUAUCAGAUCUGUCCCCAUAAGAAAACAGAAAUACUCCGCGUGAUCUCGAUAACGUGGACAACACAAGGUCGAAUCACCAGCAACAUAACCACUUAGGUUCGACGACGAGGCAACUGGUCACCAGAUAGAAUAUAUCGGAGGCAAGACGCACUAAUCGGCCUGUCAGGAUUCUUGUCUCUGUCGGCACAGGGAAGUCAGACCGAUAUUGACAAGCCAGACAGCAGUAGUAUACCUGUUGGCUAGAAAAUCCCAGAUGGUAUGGGCAGUGUCACAAUCGCCCUCAACUGUAGACGCUAGAAGGAAUAGAAGUUAUACGGCAUCCACGUGAUAAUCUGAUGAUUUUUACUAUUCCAAUUCCUCCAAGCCGAACACUCAACUCAGUAGACUUUCCUUUAGCUGCACCCUGAGUCGGUGCUUUAAAUAUCACUAGUAACAUAACGCACACAAGUUUUCUUCCCUUGAGAAAAAUGGGGACAUUGCCUGAGGACCAUGGGACUAUAGUUGGGACCACCAGAGUGAUUAAUAAGGCCUAGCAAACCUCAGAAUCCUAUCCAUAGUUUCAAAUCGUAAAGAAACAGAUGGAAAUGAUUACAAAAAUAACAGAUAAAGCCACCAGGGCAGAAAUAGCCAGAAAUUGUCCCCAAAAAUGGGAAUCAGAGGGUCCAAAAUUAGCAAGGACAAGAAUUCAGGGAUUAAUUUGAAGAAAGAAAUCAGAAACUCAGG